AAAAAAUAACCCAGACAAUUGGAUCGUGUUGGCUAGGUGUACUUUAUUUUUGUAUUUCUCUAUUUAAAAUAGACAAAAGAACAGUUUCCGCAGCUGUAGAUGGAUGCUUUGGUAGUAUAACCACAGGUUAUUGUUUCGGAAAGACACUACCUAUAUGAAGAUGCUCUACACGCCAAAAA
rnacentral:rRNA from 1 species